AGCAGCCGCGGUAAUUCCAGCUCCAAUAGCGUAUAUUAAAGUUGUUGCAGUUAAAAAGCUCGUAGUUGAAUUUCGGGAUCAAUUAAUCGGUCGUGCCUCUGGUACGCACUGGUUUUAUUGGUUUCUCCCUUCUGACGAACCAGGAUGUCAUUAAUUUGGUGUCUUGGAGAAUCAGGACUGUUACUUUGAAAAAAUUAGAGUGUUUAAAGCAGGCUAACGCUUGAAUACAUUAGCAUGGAAUAAUGAAAUAGGACGUUUGAUCCUAUUUUGUUGGUUUCUAGGAUCGACGUAAUGAUUAAUAGGGAUAGUUGGGGGCAUUAGUAUUCAAUUGUCAGAGGUGAAAUUCUUGGAUUUAUUGAAGACUAACUACUGCGAAAGCAUUUGCCAAGGAUGUUUUCAUUAAUCAAGAACGAAAGUUAGGGGAUCGAAGACGAUCAGAUACCGUCGUAGUCUUAACCAUAAACUAUGCCGACUAGGGAUCGGAUGAUGUUAAUUUUUAAUGACUCAUUCGGCGCCUUAA
rnacentral:misc_RNA from 1 species